AUGUGUCAUUUCUUAAAUGUCUAGUUAUAUUUUAUAGCAUAGUAUAUAUUUUUUGGUGUAUAUUGUGUACUAUAAGUAUAUUAUAUAGUGUACUGUACUAUAAUACUUAACUAUACUAUACUACAUAUACAAUAUUAUCUAAUACAUAGACAUUUAUGUCUGUGAUCUAAUACUACUGUACUAUAGUAUAAAAUAUAAAUGUAUUAUAACAUAUUUUAUCCCACAUUUGUAAUAUAUUUUCUGUAGGCUUUUUCCCUGUAAAAAAGGGAACAUGUAUAUAAAAUUUUUAAAGAAAUUUACUUUUCCUGAAAACAUUUAAAUUGUUUUAUAAUAACCAAAAAAAACUAGAUAAAGUUCUUAAAAUGAUAUAUGGAAUUUUGUAUAUAAAUUAAGCAAAACUAAAUAUUUGGUAUAAAAGUUACAUGUAUUUGAUAUAUGCAUAUGUUCUGAAAUAAGACACAUGGAAGUACAUGCAGAAAACAGGCAUUUUAUAAAAAUAUAUUUUUUAAUGAUAUCUAUUCAAUAUCGUUUUAAAAUUGACGUUUUAUUUAUUCUCAUAUAUACAUGUUGUAUUUAUAAUAAAAUUUUGUUAAACGCAAAGUAUCAUUUAUUAUAUACAUAUAAUGACUUUAUAUUUUAGAUAAUUAACUUUGAUAAUGUUAAAGAAACGAAAAUUUAAUAUAGAAACUGUAUAGUUUGUAAUUGUCAAAUUUGGAUCAUAAUGUUAACCGUUGUAUUACGUUUUAAAAUCAAGGAAAUGACUAAACAAUACUAGUUUGAUCAUCGAAUGAAAAUCUGAUAAAUAAAGAUUUAUUCAUUUUGUGUGUAUGAUGUAACAAAGUAAAAAAAAUAAUAGUAACUUGUAGCGAAUUGAAAGUUGAUUUAAUAAACGCGCAAGAUAUGUGAAUCUUAUCGUACAAGUGUAGUGUUUACUAAAACCUAUCAUCGUGAAGGUUAUUUAUCAUAUCGAAUAAUCAAAUUUUUUUUAUAUUGCAAAAAUGUGGUUUUAUCUUUUGCUUGUUAUUUUUACGACAUUUAAUUUUGCGAUGGCCUCGUCCAGCUUUGAUUUUGGAGAUACCUUAGCAUUGAUCAUUGGAUUGAUUAUUGGAAUCAUUGGAUUUUUUGCCUGUAUGGGUGCUUACGCACGGCAUCGAAAUCGUAUGGAAGCAAUAGCAUAAUUGUUAUAAGCACUUCACAACUCCAUUAAUCGCUAUUCAAUACAUAUAGAAUUAAUGAAGAAAAUGCCUGAAGUGACUGUUUUGAAUAUGUUUGAUAAUAUAAAAUUUAUAUAAAGAUUGCUUUAAAACUAACAGAAAUUAAAAGUUUUUUAUAAUGAAAUUUCUAUAAUUUAAUCAAUAUAAAUAUAAGGUAACAUCUUUGUCGCCACAAGCUAUUUUUAUAUCUACUAUACUAUUAUUGUAAGAUAAUUAUUAAACAAAUGUAAAUAAAAAUGGUAAUGAUAUGUAGAUAUCAUUAUUGAAACAAUCA